rnacentral:rRNA from 1 species
GACGAACGCUGGCGGCGUGCCUAAUACAUGCAAGUCGAACGCAGUGGGGACGGGUGAGUAACACGUGGGUAACCUCCCAUCAGAGGGGAUAACACUUGGAAACAGGUGCUAAACCGAUACUGAUGGAUGAACCAGCUGUGCAUUAGCUAGUGGGUGAGGGAACGGCUCACCAAGGCCACGAUGCAUAGCCGACCGGAUGGGGUGAUCGGCCACACGGGGAUGGAGACACGGCCCAGACUCCUACGGGAGGCAGCAGUAGGGAAUCUUCGGCAAUGGACGAAAGUCUGACCGAGCAACGCCGCGUGAGUGAAGAAGGUUUUCGGAUCGUAAAACUCUGUUGUUAGAGAAGCGGUAUCUAACCAGAAAGCCACGGCUAACGACGUGCCAGCAGCCGCGGUAAUAC